UGAGCAACCUACCGAAAUGAGGGGGAUAGCCGGCCCAACGGCCGGGUAAUACCGCAUACGCUCGAGACCAGGCAUUUGGACUCGAGGAAACCUCCGGGGCAUUUCGAGGGGCUCGCGGCCUAUCAGCUUGUUGGUGAGGUAAUGGCUCACCAAGGCGACGACGGGUAGCCGGCCUGAGAGGGUGACCGGCCACACUGGGACUGAGACACGGCCCAGACUCCUACGGGAGGCAG
rnacentral:rRNA from 1 species